rnacentral:rRNA from 1 species
ACACAUUUAUUUUUUUGUUCAUGAUGAAUUAUUAUUAAAAAAUUACUGUUAAAUCCUUUUUUAUUGUCAAUUUUUAUUGAGAUGUCCUUAAAUUGCUUUUAAUGUAACCCAUUUUAUCUUAAGUAUAGUUUACACCUUUACCUAAAGUAUUAGAGCAUAUUAAGGUAUAAUUUUUAUAAAUAUAGCUAGAUGGGGGUAUAUAGAAUUUUAAUUUAAGUGAAAUUUAACGUGGAUUAUCGUUUAAAAAACAGGUU